AUACCUUAAACUUAGGAAUAAGGAAAAUAAUGAUUCGGGGUGACACAUGAAUGCUCACUGCUAAUGUGAGACGAAUAUUUGAGCUGGUAAAGGUGGCCCCUUAGGUGACCUGCCUACUUUGUGGGAUGCCUGGGAGUCGCGCUCUGCCUG
ensembl:snRNA U12 U12 minor spliceosomal RNA